GAUGAAGAACGUAGUGAAAUGCGAUAAGUAGUGUGAAUUGCAGAAUUCAGUGAAUCAUCGAAUCUUUGAACGCACAUUGCGCCCCUUUGUAUUCCAUGGGGCAUGCCUGUUCGAGCGUCAUUUGUACCUUCAAGCUUUGCUUGGUGUUGGGUGUUUGUCUCGCCUUUGCGUGUAGACUCGCCUUAAAAUAAUUGGCAGCCGGCGUAUUGAUUUCGGAGCGCAGUACAUCUCGCGCUUUGCACUCAUAACGACAGCGUCCAAAAGUACAUUUUACACUCUUGACCUCGGAUCAGGUAGGGAUACCCGCUGAACUUAAGCAUAUCAAUAAGCGGAGGA
rnacentral:misc_RNA from 1 species